AAAAUGAAUUUCAACAGUUAGAAUCAAAGCAAGUGCACUUGUGUAACUGCAGUGCUGUCUGCGCCCCACAGAUUCAAAGCAAGCUUGAGGUUUAUGCUGAUCAGCAUCAUGCAAAAGCUUAGACUACGUCUUUUAUAAAGGUAAAAAAGUGAAUUUGUAAAAAAAACUACGAAUUUCUUCUAUUUCAACUGCUUAGAGCGACUGGAUAAAAUGGUCUUCAAGCUAUUGUAACAAUUAUAUUAAUGUACCUGUUGUGCAUUCUCAUUUGCUAUAUUAUAUACACACACAUCUCAAAUGUGGGGUUUUGAAAAAACAGCAAAAUGUGGAUUUUAUUUUACAACAUGAUCUCUGGUACUACACUAGGUAUUCCUGCACGGCCUCAGUAUUUUGCAUGAUCUCUGGUACUACACUAGGUAUUCCUGCACAGCCUCAGUAUUUUACAUGAUCUCUGGUACUACACUAGGUAUUCCUGCUCUGCCUCAGUAUUUUGCAUGAUCUCUGGUACUACACUAGGUAUUCCUGCUCUGCCUCAGUAUUUUACAUGAUCUCUGGUACUACACUAGGUAUUCCUGCACAGCCUCAGUAUUUUACAUGAUCUCUGGUACUACACUAGGUAUUCCUGCUCUGCCUCAGUAUUUUACAUGAUCUCUGGUACUACACUAGGUAUUCCUGCUCUGCCUCAGUAUUUUACAUGAUCUCUGGUACUACACUAGGUAUUCCUGCUCUGCCUCAGUAUUUUACAUGAUCUCUGGUACUACACUAGGUAUUCCUGCUCUGCCUCAGUAUUUUACAUGAUCUCUGGUACUACACUAGGUAUUCCUGCUCUGCCUCAGUAUUUUGCAUGAUCUCUGGUACUACACUAGGUAUUCCUGCUCUGCCUCAGUAUUUUGCAUGAUCUCUGGUACUACACUAGGUAUUCCUGCUCUGCCUCAGUAUUUUACAUGAUCUCUGGUACUACAGUAGGUAUUCCUGCACAGCCUCAGUAUUUUACAUGAUCUCUGGUACUACAGUAGGUAUUCCUGCACGGCCUCAGUAUUUUGCAUGAUCUCUGGUAUUACACUUGGUAUGCUUGCACUGACCUGCUAAUAAAACACAGCUUUAAGCUUGGCAAAUUGGUGCCAUGGAAACAGUGGUGGACCCAAAAAAGACAUCCACUGCUGCCAGCCUGCACAUCCAUUCAACUGGCUCCGUUAAUAAAGAUUUAAAAAAAACAAAAAACAGCUGCAUCUUGAGUGUGGACAAAUGUGCUAAGAUAAUAUAAUCCAGUUAAGUUUAUAAAAGUUAAUUUAUAAAGCCGGAUAUAAAUAUUAAGAACCACACCUGGAUUCCCCCCUCCAUGUGCUUAUUAUUUUUAGUAUUAUUAUAAUGCACUGUACCCGAGUGAUACAAGGAUGAUUACUAUAUUAACUUAAAAUGUAGACCUAUGGCUGUAUUGUAAUACAGUACUUUGUAAAAUUAAUAAAUAAUGUUGGUAAACAGACAGUACACUUCCAUGAUAAUAAGCACAGGCACGAAAUUAUUGCAUUGUCUUGACAGCAGGACACAGACAGCUGGCCAUGUCUCAAUGUCUGACCUUUUUUUUUUUUUUUUUUUUAAAAAAGGUCUUGAAAGAGCUAAACAAUUUUUAAGAUAAUAAAUGUUUGGAGUGUUUUCUUGCUCCAAUGGGGUGGGGGGGGGGUUCUUUUGUAACAUAAUAUGGUGAAGGGGGGGUGUGAAUUCUGUUUCGCUCUGUAUCGCAGUUCCUUCUUUUGUAAGAGCUGCAAACCGCAGGGAGAGAGGAAAUGUUAGCAUCUUACAGAGCUUGCCAUAGGAUCACUAAUAUUUUGUAUUUUAAACACAGAAAUUGAAAAAUGAAAAACAGGUCGAUUUUUGUUUUAAUGAAAAAACGAAAUAGAAACAACAAGUCGUUUUCUGUUUUUCUGAUUCUGAAUGCAAAAAUGAUUGGCCGGAAUCACACGGACCAAACUGCUAAACGUUUUUGUUACCAUGCAUCAGGUUUUAAAACGAAAAUUGAAAAUGCAGAUUUGAGACCUAUACAACAAAUUCAAGUGCACAACAGGCAAGAUUUCUAUCAUUGUUUUGUUAGCCACAGGCAUUUCAAUAGAGAGAUAAGACAGUGAUUGUUACAGACUUCAAGAAAAUAGUUUUUGAGAAUGUCUUCCUCCUCAGGACCUUCACAUGUAAUGACAGUGUGCAUUGUGAACGUAAUGCAUCGUUACACCUCAGAACAUCUACGGGACAGCCCUGCCCUGGAGUCGCCACAAUGCAA